AAAGAAAAAAACAGAACCAGGGGAAAAAGAACAAAAACACAGAUUAUGCCAAUAAAUGCAAUUACUAGCCAAAAAGUCACUCAGAUUCUUCUGUCCACAGUCAUACAUGAGGUCUGGGAGGAGACCUGUGGUGUAUCAAACACAGUAUUGUUAGAACCAGGAUUUAGUGCCCUGAGGACAAUCUGAUGGAGCUAAUGUGACAAAGAACAUAAACCAUGGGAAAACUAGAGACAGCCAUUUUAGAAAGGACUUUUCCUACAAGAAGGCUCUAAGUCCACAUAGUGAACCAUGGCACACUCACAGACCAGAAAACUAGAAAAUACCAAAGAAGACCAAGCCAGCUUCCAUUGAAGACCCUUUCCUCCAUGGAGGUAGAGAAUAAUGUAUAUGACUGCCAGAGGCAGAAGCAAAUAGGUUACUAGUAACUUGGUCCUACAGACAUCCCCUACCAAGCUCUAAGCUGGUUGAAAUUUGCUAAUGAUGAAUUCCUGAGUUCAUGGACAGUUCACAUAGGCCGGGAUCAUGACAGCCUGGGGUCAGCUACCCUGAAGAGACACAUGGAACACCUGAGGCUGUGGGCUCUGGCACAGGUAGCAAACUGUGUGGUUGAGACCAGAGAGCUGCAUAAGGCAUGGGCCACCUAGGACUGUGUCUUGUCCUCCAACCAGCCACCUGAGAUUUUUGACUUGUGAAGAGCAAAAAGCACCGAGCCAAUCAUGGUCAUUGCCCUUGCUGAGCACCUAAGUGCCUGACUGGCUGGGAAGUGCAUGAAACACACGACCCACUUGGGACCAUGCCCUCACGUAUCAACAGGGAGGCUGAGCAGUGUGGACCCAGGAAGAACAUGUCACAUUUGUCAGUGGCAAGCCCAAUGUGGUCAAUCCACCUCAAGCACCCACAUAUCCCAGAGGUAUUUGUUUUCAGUGUCCCGGUCUCACGAAUUCCGCUC
rnacentral:sRNA from 1 species